GUCAGAGGCAGGAAGUUGGCAGUGUUGCUCAGGCUGCAUCAUUAAUAGGCAUAUUGCAACACAAGUGGGAGGGAAAAUGAGCGAGGAUUGAAAUAGAAAUAGAAAGAGCCCUGACGUGUGUGUGAGAGAGAAAGAGG